ensembl:lncRNA
CUUAAAGUGAAAAAUCGGAGUCUGUUUUAUUCUGUUAGUAUGGAAUUCCCAUACUACAUCCUGACCAUCUGAUGUGUCUAGGUAAAGACUUCCCCCUGCUCAUGGUGAGUCACCAGGAGGCCAGCCAGAGGAACCUGGACCUGAUGAGACAAAUCUGCAAUGAACAAGAGAACACAACUCUGCUCACCAGAGAUGUAGCCGAUGACCCCAUGGAGAUACGUCUGAAGAGGGAUGGUGUGGUGGCAGACGAGAAACGUGGAGCCAAGAGGUUUAGCCCUGACACCAAUGCAAUAGGACCGACACGCCACCCCCUAAAAACAAUGGCAAUAACAGUAAAAACACGGACCAAGUAGGUAACAAACGAGACCCUUACCCCCAACAAUCUGGAUCAGGCCUCUGUCAUAGUCUCCCGCCCCAUCUCGAAUAAUGUAUCAAUGGCCUCCUCUUCCACCUUCAACAUCUGAUCUGAUCUGAAUGCAGUGGCCAGCUUUUCCAUGCAGAGUAGUCUUUUUCCCAUCAGUGUUUUUGAAUCAUUGAUGAAGGAUUUUGAGGCUGAUUCCCUGACCUGUCAAUGUUUUUAAUUUGCUGUUUUAAGAUUUUGUUAUACUCUUGUGAAUUCUAUGUUUUUUUUUACUAGAUUGCCUGUAGUUUUUCAUGUUGUCUGUCUGUAAUUGGGUAAUGACUUGGUACCGCCUAUCUUGGCCAGAACGCUCUUGAAAAAGAAAUUUCAAAUCUCAAUGAGCCCUUCCUGGUUAAAUAAAGGUUAAAUAAAAAAUAAAAAAUGUCUUCAGGACAAUCGCUGGUAGGAAGCAUCAACGAAGCAUCAACUGUGACUGCUUUCUUCCAAGACCUGUUCUACUGUCGCUGUAUGCCUGACGAAGAGAGACAAGAUGCAGAGAAACCAUGUUGGGUACAGAGGCUGGGAACCGACGACAUGUGAUCAGGGGAGAUAAGAAGAGUUUCCUGUUGGAGUGGCUGUAUGUAUUCCCAAGCCUUUGCACGGAGACUCCGUCCUUACAAUCACAGAGUUGUCAGACAGUCCAUUUCACUGUCAGUGUCCACGCACACAGUGGUUCUGACACUCAAGACCAGGAGUGAAAUAUUAGCCACAUCAUGGAAGAAGCUAGCAAAAGAGCAUUUAUCAUGAUGGCGCAUACACCGCCAUUUCUUUGCACUUUAUUGGUAGCCUUGUAGUCUUAGGUACAGAGACUGGGAAACAGACUGUUGCAUUGAAUUUCACAUGCACCUGUUCUGCUGCGUCUUGCUGUAGAAGGCUGGCUCUGAAGCCGAGGCGUAAACAUUGCAGGACAUGUUCAUUCAACCGUCAUACUUUAUCUGCUCCACAGGCCACGGUAAGGCAGGACGUCAAAGGGGCUUGAAUCUAGGACACGACAGAGAGAAGUAGGCUGCAGGUGUGACAGGCAGUACUCACAUCUAUUAUUGGAAGAGCCACAGUUUUCUUCAUUACAGCCUAUAUGGCAUGUGACUCACUUCCUUCACAGGAGACCAUUCAGCAGCAGAGAGAUGUUUUUCUCUGGGCUGGCAGUGGUGCAGCUGUCUGUCUAUUCAGAACAACCUUAUCACCGUUGGCAUGGCAACCAACAC